GACGAACGCUGGCGGCGUGCCUAAUACAUGCAAGUUGAGCGCUGAAGGUUGGUACUUGUACCAACUGGAUGAGCAGCGCACGGGUGAGUAACGCGUGGGGAAUCUGCCUUUGAGCGGGGGACAACAUUUGGAAACGAAUGCUAAUACCGCAUAAAAACUUUAAACACAAGUUUUAAGUUUGAAAGAUGCAAUUGCAUCACUCAAAGAUGAUCCCGCGUUGUAUUAGCUAGUUGGUGAGGUAAAGGCUCACCAAGGCGAUGAUACAUAGCCGACCUGAGAGGGUGAGCGGCCACAUUGGGACUGAGACACGGCCCAAACGCCUACGGGAGGCAGCAGUAGGGAAUCGUCGGCAAUGGAUGAAAGUCUGACCGAGCAACGCCGCGUGAGGGAAGAAGGGUGUCGGAUCGUAAAACUCGGUUGGUAGAGAAGAACGUUGGUGAGAGUGGAAAGCUCAUCAAGUGACGGUAACUACCCAGAAAGGGACGGCUAACUACGUG
rnacentral:rRNA from 1 species